GGGCGGUUAGCUCAGCGGUAGAGCGCCUGCCUUACAAGCAGGAUGUCACUGGUUCGAGUCCGGUACCGCCCA
rnacentral:tRNA from 11 species